AGUGAACGCUGGCGGUAGGCCUAACACAUGCAAGUCGAACGGCAGCACAGUAAGAGCUUGCUCUUACGGGUGGCGAGUGGCGGACGGGUGAGGAAUACAUCGGAAUCUACUUUUUCGUGGGGGAUAGCGUAGGGAAACUUACGCUAAUACCGCAUACGACCUACGGGUGAAAGCAGGGGAUCUUCGGACCUUGCGCGAUUGAAUGAGCCGAUGUCGGAUUAGCUAGUUGGCGGGGUAAAGGCCCACCAAGGCGACGAUCCGUAGCUGGUCUGAGAGGAUGAUCAGCCACACUGGAACUGAGACACGGUCCAGACUCCUACGGGAGGCAGCAGUGGGGAAUAUUGGACAAUGGGCGCAAGCCUGAUCCAGCCAUACCGCGUGGGUGAAGAAGGCCUUCGGGUUGUAAAGCCCUUUUGUUGGGAAAGAAAAGCAGCAGGUUAAUACCCCGCUGUCCUGACGGUACCCAAAGAAUAAGCACCGGCUAACUUCGUG
rnacentral:rRNA from 1 species